CCCUAUGGGGUGCAGCAGGCGAGAAAACUUUGCAAUGUGCGAAAGCACGACAAGGUUAAUCCGAGUGAUUUCUGCUAAAGAAAUCUUUUGUUAGUCCUAGAAACACUAACGAAUAAGGGGUGGGCAAGUUCUGGUGUCAGCCGCCGCGGUAAAACCAGCACCUCAAGUGGUCAGGAUGAUUAUUGGGCCUAAAGCAUCCGUAGCCGGCUCUGUAAGUUUUCGGUUAAAUCUGUACGCUCAACGUACAGGCUGCCGGGAAUACUGCAGAACUAGGGAGUGGGAGAGGUAGACGGUACUCGGUAGGAAGUGGUAAAAUGCUUUGAUCUAUCGAUGACCACCUGUGGCGAAGGCGGUCUACCAGAACACGUCCGACGGUGAGGGAUGAAAGCUGGGGGAGCAAACCGGAUUAGAUACCCGGGUAGUCCCAGCUGUAAACUAUGCAAACUCAGUGAUGCAUUGGCUUGUGGCCAAUGCAGUGCUGCAGGGAAGCCGUUAAGUUUGCCGCCUGGGAAGUACGUACGCAAGUAUGAAACUUAAAGGAAUUGGCGGGGGAGCACCACAAGGGGUGAAGCCUGCGGUUCAAUUGGAGUCAACGCCAGAAAUCUUACCCGGAGAGACAGCAGAAUGAAGGUCAAGCUGAAGACUUUACCAGACAAGCUGAGAGGUAGUGCAUGGCC
rnacentral:rRNA from 1 species